AAUAUAUCAAAAAUAUCAUUUCCACAUUUAGUCAGUAUAUAAUUAUUAAAGAGAUAUUUUAAAUUAUUUCCUUUAGACCAGGUCUUUGAAAUUUGUUAUGUAUUUUAUACUUAGAGAAUAUCUCAGUUUCCACUAGUCACAUUUUAGAAGCCCACUAGCCACAUCUGGCUAGUGGCUACUAUAUGGAAGAGUGCAGACCUACAGUUUCUUGCCUUCCUGGAAUGUUGUAGUCUAAAAGAAGGGGUCUAUGAGAGCAAAGCCUGGAAACCGAACAGCAGAAAAUGUGAAGAUAAUGAGUAAUUUUGGAGUAACAGAUUCAACUUCAGAAGACAUAGAAUCAGCUCAUGUUCACAUCCAAAAAGCAGGUAUGUACCCGUUUCAUGACAAUGUUCAGAGGAAAGAUGGAUACUGAUAGGACCAUUCACAUGAUAAUCCCAUUCCCCUUCCAGGUGACUUAUUGGGAAAGGGCUGCUGAAGACCAAGAUCCUUAUUGGAGAUGCAGAGAUCACUAACAAUAUGUUUCAAAGAGUAUGCUUUUCAUACGGGCUGCUGAAGACCAAAACCCUUACUGCAGUGUCCAGUACCUCCACUCAAUCAGAAGUCACUGGAGCUUUAGGAAAUGUGGGAGCUUUUGUUUUGUUUUGACUUUCAUCUUCUAUGGGACCUGCACCUUAUUUAAAUCGAAGAAACACUGUUUUGUAACACGCGUCCUCUUGAAAGAACUUGUGUUUAGCAGACAUCAUACGCAAAAGCCUUUAUAUUUAUGUAUUGCCUGCUAAAGAAGGCUUUAUUUCUGUGAAAAGAAGGCUUUCUGGAAGGGUGCAGUGGCUCACACCUGUAAUCUCAGCAAUUUGGGAGGGCAAGGCAGACGGAUCACUUGAGCCCAGAAGUUCGAGACCAGCCUGGGCAACAUGGCAAAACCCUGUCUCUACAAAAAAUACAAAAAUUAGCCAGGCAUGCUGGUGUGUCUAGGAUCCCAGCUACUAUGGAGGAUGGCUUGAGCCCAGGAGAUGGAUGUUGCAGUGAGCGGAGUUCGCGACACUGCACUCCAGCCUGGGCGACAGAACGAGCGCCUGUCUCGGGAAAAAAGAAAAAAAGGCUUUCCAAAUUUGAGACCCCUGAGCUAUAAAAGUUGUUGUUAGAGUCUGAGGGUCAGAGAAGCUCUCAUUGAAAUCACAGCUUUCACUUAUCAGCUGUGUGAUCUUGGGCCACUCUCAUCAUGUCUCUUAACCUCAAUUCUCAACUUAGAAACAAAGAAUAAUAGUAACCUUCAAGCAUUGCUACAGGAUUCAAUAUGACAUCGCAGGUAAAGUUUCUGACAGAGCUUGCUCCAUGAGAAAUACCUGAAUUACAUUUUUCUCCAUUUUAAAAAAAUUGGACCUGGUCAUUAAUGGCAUACACUGCCGUUGGUGUAGUGGACUUGUAACAGACUCCCAGACCCCAGAGGCCACACAUUCUUUGGGUCACCCCUCUUGGUUGCCUCUGGGCCCACUGACUGCUUGGUGCUGCUCCAGGGGUGGUGAGGUUCUUCUCUCAAUGCUUUUUCCCAGGUAAGUCACUUAUGUUCCCCCAAUUCAUAUGUUGCAGUCCUAAUCCCCAAUGGUUGUAGUAGGAGGUGAGGCCUUUAGUAGGUAAUUAGGUCAUUAGCGCGAAGUCCACAUGAAGGGGAUUAAUGCCUUCAUAAAAGAGACUCCAGAGAGAUUUCUCACCUUUCUUUCCACCACAUGAGGAUACAAAUGUUAGUCUACAAUCCAGAUGUAGUCCCUCACCAGAGCCUGACCAUGCUGGCACCCUAAUCUGAGAUUUCUAGCCUCCAUAACUGUGAGAAAUAAAUUUCUGUUCUUCAUAAACCACUCAAUCUAGGGUGCUUGGUUAUAGCAGCCUAAACUAGCACAGUUGGUGUACACUUUCUCUGUACAGUCACCCUACAGCACUUUUCUGAAAUCCCUCAAGGAAAAAACCAAUGUGCAGAGUGCAAAUAUUUCCCGCUGCAAGACCUCCAGAGUUGGGGACUUGUAACAGACACCCAGACCCCAGAGGUUACACAUUCUUGAGGUCACCUCUCUUGGUUGCCUCUGGGCCCACUGACUGCUUAGUGCUGCUCCAGAGGCGGUGAGGUUCUUUGCUCAAUGCUUUUUUCCAGGUAAAUCAGCCGGGUCUUCUUGCUGCUGUUGCAUGUCACCUGUCUGAUGUCCUCUCGCCCCUCAGAACUGCCUCCUAUUAUUACCCUCCUGCUACUCUUUCCCCUGGUAAUUGUUGGUGGGUGCCCUCCAUCUGCCCUCUCCCCCCAGCUAAUUGCCUUCUGGUUCUCCCUUCCCCUGGUCACAUGCCUGGCUCUGCCCUCCUGUCACCCUUCUUACCUGCUAACCUCUGCUUGAUUUGCUGCCUGGACAUAGGCAGGCUGGGCCUUUCUGCCCUUCAUGCUGCCUGCUGCCUGCUGGUUUCCCGCACUGCUCCAUCCACCUGCUGCGUGCCUGGGGUCACCUUCCCGCUGCCUGCUCCACCUGUCCCUGAGUUGGUUGAUUUUGCCCCCUGAAAAAGCACAGAUGGGAUCUCUCCAGCUUCCCUGUGAUUGUCUAAUGGGGAAGUGGGAUGCAAAUGACUGUGCAAAAUAAAUGGAAAGGAAGAAAAGCCAAACCAAACUGAACCAUACGAAAACAAAACAAACAUAAACACCCAGAUAGGGAUUAAGAACCCAGAGUAAUUUGGCUAAAUAAAGUUAUGUCUGUCUCAGAAUCCAGAACAUAGAUAUAAGACAAAAAGAGGGAAAACAUACUGGGAAAUUGAUUAAAAUAGGCUCCACAGUGCAUGUAAAGUAGUCAAAUUUUAGAGGUAAGUGCUGGGGAGUAGAGAUUCUUCUUCUACAUCUAACUUUACAAGUAAGCAUUAAGCUUUGGUGAUACACAGACCUGUUCAUUGGCAAUGAUUGCCUUUUCCUUAGGGGCAUAAUAUACUUGUACUCAAGGGGCCUUUUAAAAAUGCUGCUGAAUAUUUGCAAUUAAUAUCUGUUAUUUAGCCUUUCAUAUCUGUUUUAGAUGUCCUAUUGGCACUAUAAGCUCAGAAAUUCCUUUUUUGGGUGGUGCUUUUCUUUGAUUUUUUUCUUUUCUUUUUUUUUUUUUUUUUGACGGAGUCUUGCUCUGUUGCCCAGGCUGGAGUGCAGUGGCACGAUCUCGGGUCACUGCAAGCUCCACCCCCCAGGUUCACGCCAUUCUCCUGCUUCAGUCUCCCGAGUAGCUGGGACUACAGGUGCCUGAUACCAUGCCCGGCUAAUUUUUUUGUAUUUUUAGUAGAGAUGGGGUUUCACCAUGUUAGCCAGGAUGGUCUCGAUCUCCUGUCCUCAUAAUUCGCCUACCUCGGCCUCCCAAAGUGCUAGGAUUACAGGCGUGAGCCACCGCACCCAAUCCUCUUUGAUUUUUUUCUAAUUGUUUGUUUAAACUGACACUAAACACUCACAAAUUGGGCACAAGCACAAGUUAAUAGAAUAUUUAUUGAGAACUUUACUCCCAAAGACAGAGUUUCAUUUAGAGCAGAGAAAUUCCUCUUAUGCUAAAUAUUAAUCGUGUCACCCAGAAUAUAAUUUUUUUUUUUUUUUUUUUUUUGAGACAGGGUCUCUCUGUGCUGCCCAGGCUGGAGUGCAGUGGCAGGAUCAUAGCUGACUGCAACCCCAAACUCCUGGGGUCAAGUCAUCCUCCUGCCCCAGCCUCCUGAGGAGCUAAAACUAUAGAAGCAUGCCACCAAGCCUGGCUAAUAUAUAUAUAUAUUUUUAACGUUGUAGAGAUGAGAUUUUGCUAUGUUGCCCAGGCUGGUCUUGAGCUCCUGGCUUCAAGUGAUCCUGCUGCCUCAGCCUCCCAAAAUGCUGGGAUUACAGAUAUGAGCCUCCACACUUGGCCAUUUUUUUUUAUUUUUGAAGUUUUAUUUUUUUUAAUUGAUGCAUAAUAAUUGUACGUAUUUAUGGGGUACAGUGUAAUGUUUCAGUACAUCGUGUAAUAACCAAAUCAGGCAAUCGGUAUGUCUAUCAUCCAAAACACUUGUCAUUUCUAUGUGGUGAGAAUAUUCAAAAUCUUUUCUUCUAGUUAUUUUGAAGUAUGCAAUACAUUAUUGUUGACUAUAGACACCCUACAAUGCUAUAGAACGCAGGAACUUAUUCCUCCUAUUUAACUGUAGCUUUGUACUCAUCGACAAACGUUUCCCCAUACUCCCCUCCCCUUACUCUCCAGUCUCUGGUAAUCACUAUUCUACUGUCUACUUCUAUGAGAUCAAUCUUUUGAGGUUCCACAAGUACAUGAGAUCAUGCAGUAUUUGUCCUUCUGGACCUGAUCUAUUUCACUUAAUAUAAUAUUCACUAGAUUUGUCCAAGAAACAAAUGACAGAAUUUUGUUCUUUUUAUGGCUGAAUUGUAUUUGACUGUGAUACAUAACACAUUUUUCAAAUCUUUUUAUUCAUUGAUGGACACUUACGUUCAUUCAAUCAUAUUGUAUUAGGCCAUUCUUGCAUUGCUAUAAAGAAAUACUUGAGACUGGGUAAUUUAUAAAGCAAAGAGGUUUAACUGGCUCACAGUUCUACAGGCUUUAUAGGAAGUGUGGUGCUAACACCUGCUCAGCUUCCAGGGAGGCCUCAGGAAGCUCACAAUCAUGGCUGAAUGCAAACGGGGAGCAGACACAUCACGUGGCAAAAGCAGAAGCAAGAGAGGGAGGUGGGAGAUGCUACACACUUUUAAACGACCAGAUCUCUCAAGAACUCAUUCACUGUUAUGAGGAUGUGCCAGGGGAUGGUGCUAAAUCAUUCAUGAGAAAACAGCCCCCAUGAUCCCGUCACCUCCCACUAGGCCCCACUUCCAACAUUGCAGAUUCUAAUUGAACAUGAGACUUGGGUGGGGACACAGACCCAAAUCAUAUCACAUACCUUGGCUGUUGUGAAUAGUACUGCAAUAAACAUGAGAGAAAAUAUUCAGAAACUAUGCAUCUGUCUAUGGAUUAAUAUCCAGAAUAUGUGAGAAACUCAAACAAUUCAACAGCAAAAAAACCCAUAUAAUACAAUAAAAAUGGGCCAAAGGUCUGAAUGGACAUUUUUCAAAAGGAGACAUACAAAUGGCCAACAGGUAGAUUAAAAAAAAUUCAACAUCACUAAUCAUCGGAGAAAUGUAAACCAAAACUAUGAGGUAUCACUUUACCCCAGUUAGAAUGGCUAUCAUUAAGAUGACAAAAAAUAGCAAAUGCUGAGGAGAAGGUGAAGAAAGGAAAACUCUUACAUUUGAUUGGUAGAAAUGUAAGUUAAUACAGUCUUUAUAGAAACAGUAUGAAAGCGCCUCAAAAAAUUAGAAAGAGAACUAGCAUAUGAUUCCGCAAUCUCAUCAAUGAGUAUCUAUCCAAAGAAAAUGAAAUCAGUGUGUUAAAGAGAUAUCUGCCCUCCCAAGUUUAUCACAGAGAUCUUGUGUAUUUGAGUGUGAAGGUGGCUCAGAGAGUCGUGUGUCAGGUCUCUUGAGAGAAGAGGUAGGCAUGAACACUGGUUUCAGAUGUAGAAUGUAAGACUUGUUUAUGGUCUUCGUCUUCAUGGCUAAUGGGUAGUUCUUCAUUUACAGCCUUCUCAAGCAAGAAAUAUUUGAAGACACACAUACCCUCAUCCACAAAGAUUACACUGUUACUCUCAGUUGGUCCAAAAUUCUACUCUAAAAUAAAAUGUAUGUGUUAUUUCCAAAAGGAAGUCUUGUCAUGUUUCUCCUCAAAAUGACAAUUAGACCAACUAGAUGAUUAUUGUAUUAUUUAGUUCUUAAAAUUUAUUUUCUCUUUCUACAAUCCUUUGUAUAGUAAUAUUAACAAUGACAACUAGUCCUAGGUUGGUUUUCCUUGGCCUCAGUUUCCCCAUUUUUAAACCAAAGCAGAGGUCAGGGGAAACCAUAUGUUCUCUGUGAUUCUACUGAGCUUCAUGAUAUGGGAAUACUUUUGUAUUCUAAAAUUCAUGAGACUUAAAAUUAUCAAGUUAGUUCUAAAAAUGUCCAUGGUCCCCAUUGAUAAUGAUAGGUUACCAACGACUACUUUUGACAGAAUUCUUAGUUCUCAUAUACUAAAAUAUGAAGAAAUAAGGCUGUAGAAAAUCCAACAGUUUUGGGGGAAGAUAAAUAUAAAAAUUAAGCUCCAACGAUAUGAUGAGAGACG
rnacentral:lncRNA from 10 species